AGAAAUACAUAACAAUACCUUAUAGCAAGCCUAUAGAUAUUGGAAGAUAACAUAUAUAUUAUGUUCUAAUUAAAAUUUGAUCAUUAAAUUUUAUGGUUGCACUGAUCAUGGUAUUUUUCAAACUUAAAUGAUAUAUUUUACAAAACCAAAUGGUAUAAUAAGCAUCAGCUCCAUCGGGUAAAAGUGAUACUUGAAAUUUUCAACGGCCUCACUUCUUACUGACUAAUUGUGUUUGUACAGAUGAAUCAAGAUGAAGAUGGUGCACUGACUGUAAUUUGUAAUGUAGGCACAACUCCCCUUGUCCCCAUUCUUCAUUACCCCAUCUGCUAGUAUGACACCCCAGCAGCAGACAUCAUUCUCAGCCCACCAACAGUCAAAGUCCACACUUCACCAGCAACCACUGGCUGCAAAAGCACAAGAGAAUAAGCAUUCAGUAUAGUUUAUUUUAUAAGCAGUAAUUUACGAUUAAAAUUUUGUAUUUCUGCCAACAGUAUGUAGUUUGAACACUUUCAAAUAUUGUUUGACCAAUUAUCAAAUAGGCAUUUUCAUAAACAAACUAUCAGAUGAGUGUGCUGAUGAAGUUGGACCACAUCUUGAACAAUUAACAGUAACAGACAGGCUUGCUUUGCCAAAUGGCAAGUAGAGGAAUAAAUGGAGGGGAUGGUAACUGUACAGUAGAGGAUGUGCUUCCAUUUGACACUGUCAUGAUUUAAAAGACAGUUUAGUGUUAGGUUCAUGAGCUCCCAAAAUUGUGGGGAAACAGUCCAGCGAAUUAUGCCAAAGAUAGGCAUUUACAGGUUGUGGUUUGCUUACAACCUGAUGGGCAAAAAACAAAAGACACAACAAUAACAAAAAAAUCUUCUACUCUUCAAAUGAAUUAAGAAAGCUUGCCUUCAGACCCAUCCAAAAGUAAAGGAAAACACUAUUGAGGACCAGGUGACAGAACUUCUGAAACAUGCUCCCAAUAACCUGGCUUUUCUCUUGGAGUAUCACUACACCACUUUGUUCUUUUGUAUAGCUUCAGGCAAUUUCAGAUUUCUGCAGUCUUAGGACGAGAUUCUGGUCAUGUGCUGCAUUUCUUUCUAUAGGCAUCAUUAAUUAUGUAUCUCUCAUACCUUGCUAUAGCCACAAGCAAAUCUGGUCAGUAUGAGAUGGUGUCCAGGAUGGUCACCAUCUAUUUCAGAUAUGUAUACAUUCUGUCUCAGGCCAUUCAUACAUUUCCACCUUGACACAUCUUAACAAUCCAGAUAAUCAAUGGAAAUUGGACAAGUAAAUCAGCUAACUACCCCUUACUAUCUUUCUGCUCGUGCUCAUGAAAUGGGAUUCAGAAUUGUUAUAUCUCUCACUGAUACCAGUAAGAGAGACACUGGUCCAUGAGAAGAUUUUUUCAAAUUCUUCACGCACACUAACAUAUCUUGAUUUUAGUUAAAUUUCUAGGUUCCUCCUCCCCACUAUCACUUAGAUGAUUUGGCAUUUGCCUUGUGGUUAGGGCACUCAACUCGCAAUCUUUGGGCAACAAGUUCAAAUCUUAUCACCAAACAUGUUUGCCCUUUCAGCCAUGAGGGCAUUCAUAUUACAGUUGAUCGCAUUAUUCGUUAUUAAAGAGUAGCCCAAACAUUGGCAUUGGUUGGUGUUGACUAGCUGUCUUCCCUCUAAUCUAUCACUUCAAAAUUAGCCCUGUAAUAGCUUUACACAAAAUUCAACAAACAAAUUAUUGCUUCACUUAUUGUAUUCAGAUACAUUGAUUGCAUUCUGAUUUCAAUGACAAUAAUUAAAUACUAGAAGAUCUACAUGAAAAUGUUUAAACAUUUUCCUCAUUAUAACAAUAUAGUCUCUUAUUAUCAUAGCUGUAAGAUAAAAGUACCAUGAUAUCUGAUUAACUACUUAAUUAAAUUAUAUAUAUAUAUAUAUAUAUAAAGUGCCAAAUGUUGCAACCAGUUUUGAAUAAUUAACCUUACUGCUAUAGUGAAGAUGAAAAUAGUAACUUUCUAUUUAUACAUACAGAAAGUAAUGUUUUAUCAUUUUUACUUUCUGAAAGUAAAGUAGGACUUUCCAAUUCCUGAUGUGAAGCCUGCAUUAGGACCAAAAACAUCAUCAUACACUCUUCUUCAGAUUGUAAAAGUGUUAAUUUUUAAAUAAACGUUGUUUCUUACUUA